rnacentral:rRNA from 1 species
AGCGAACGCUGGCGGCAGGCCUAACACAUGCAAGUCGAGCGGGCGUAGCAAUACGUCAGCGGCAGACGGGAGAGUAACACGUGGGAACGUGCCCUUUGGUUCGGAAUAACUCAGGGAAACUUGAGCUAAUACCGGAUAAGCCCUUCGGGGGAAAGAUUUAUUGCCAUUGGAGCGGCCCGCGUCGGAUUAGCUAGUUGGUGAGGUAAUGGCUCACCAAGGCGACGAUCCGUAGCUGGUCUGAGAGGAUGACCAGCCUCACUGGGACUGAGACACGGCCCAGACUCCUACGGGAGGCAGCAGUGGGGAAUAUUGGACAAUGGGCGCAAGCCUGAUCCAGCCAUGCCGCGUGGAUGAUGAAGGCCCUAGGGUUGUAAAGUCCUUUUAACGGGGAAGAUAAUGACGGUACCCGUAGAAUAAGCCCCGGCUAACUUCGUGCCAGCCGCCGCGGUAA